rnacentral:rRNA from 1 species
UACGUAGGGUGCAAGCGUUGUCCGGAAUUAUUGGGCGUAAAGAGCUCAUAGGCGGUUUGUUGCGUCGGCUGUGAAAUCCCGAGGCUCAACCUCGGGUCUGCAGUCGAUACGAGCAAACUAGAGUGUUGCAGGGGAGACUGGAAUUCCUGGUGUAGCGGUGAAAUGCGCAGAUAUCAGGAGGAACACCGGUGGCGAAGGCGGGUCUCUGGGCAACAACUGACGCUGAGGAGCGAAAGCGUGGGGAGCAAACAGG